rnacentral:rRNA from 1 species
GCAGGUUUCGACAAUUCCCUUUAGGGUGCCUGCGGAAGGAUCAUUG